ensembl:lincRNA 1700006H21Rik RIKEN cDNA 1700006H21 gene
GGCAGCCAUCUUAGAUCUAAUGCGGUGUCAGGACGCUUCGAGGAGUCGCAGGAGCUUGUGGCGAGCUUGUGCCUCGCUCUCCAUCCCACACUUUCCUUCAUGAGGUUGAUCUCCACACACNNGCACCAUUCUGACCUGUGCUGUCUGGAGGAUGGUUCAUACAGGGGCUGGAAGUCGGCAAAGAGUUCCCAGGGGAAGGCUUUGGCAUCCACAUUAUUCCUGCCUGGAAGCUGAUUUGAAAACAGGAAGCUCAGAGCUUCACAUGAAGAAUGAUGGGACAGAAAGACACAGAGGACCUGACAGCACCAACCAGUAACUGUGCCAGCCCCCGGCUGUUGGCCCGCGCACUUCUCAUUAUUUGAGAAAAAUGAAGUCGGGCUCAGCAGCUUAAGUCUCUUACAGUUGAAUUUGCUGUUGUCUGUAACAAAACUUGUUCUUAAAUUAUACAAGGGGGAUCCCUCAGA